rnacentral:ncRNA from 2 species
CGCUUCGGGCUAAGAUAGCAGUGCAUCUGUGAACCACCCGCAGCAAAGGGAAACUCCGGUGUAACUCCGGGGCUGUGCCGCAGCUGUAAGCACGUCCUUUCCAUGGGCUUGCAAGCCAGAAUGCCUUUGUUGAGCGCCCGGCGCUC